GAUGAACGCUGGCGGCGUGCCUAAUACAUGCAAGUCGAGCGAACAGACGAGGAGCUUGCUCCUCUGACGUUAGCGGCGGACGGGUGAGUAACACGUGGAUCACCUACCUAUAAGACUGGGAUAACCUCGGGAAACCGGAGCUAAUACCGGAUAAUAUAUUGAACCGCAUGGGUCAAUAGUGAAAGACGGUUUUGCUGUCACGUAUAGAUGGAUCCGCGCCGCAUUAGCGAGUUGGUAAGGUAACGGCCUACCAAGGCGACGAUGCGUAGCCGACCUGAGAGAGUGAUCGCCCACACGGGAACUGGGACACGGUCCAGGCUCCUACGGGAGGCAGCAGUAGGGAAUCUUCCGCAAUGGGCGAAAACAUGACGGAGCAACGCCGCGUGAGUGAUGAAGGUCUUCGGAUCGUAAAGCUCUGUUAUUAGGGAAGAACAAAUGUGUAAGUAACUAUGCACGUCUUGACGGUACCUAAUCAGAAAGCCACGGCUAACUACGUG
rnacentral:rRNA from 1 species